rnacentral:lncRNA from 1 species
UCCCCAUCCUCACCUUCACCAGUAUUCUCGACCAAUUUUGUUUCAGUCUCAUCAGUACCAGGUUUCUUCUCCGUUGAAUUCUCCUCGGAAUCUCCUUGUCCAGCUGCAUUACUUUCACCAUCAUCUGGCUUUGUCCCUCCAUCUUUUGUGUUUGUUUCUCCAUUGUUGAUUUUAGUGUCACCAUCCUCUGCAUUAGUUCCUCCAUUUUGUGUCUCAGUAGUUGACCCAUCAUCGGACUUGGUAUCUUCAUUAGAUUUUUCCUCAGGCUUCUCUUCUGGCUUCUCCUCAGGCUGCUCUUCUUGCUUGUCCUCCGGCUUCUCUUCUGGUUUCUCCUCCGGCUUCUCUUCCGGCUUCUCAUCGGGCUUCUCUUCAGGAAUCUCAUCGGGCUUCUCUUCAGGAAUCUCAUUGGGCUUCUCUUCGGGCUUCUCUUCAGGUGUACUGCUGUCUCCUUGUGUUGCAUCCUCAGGCAAAUCACCUGGGCUGUCCUCAGGUUGCUUAGGAUUGAUUUCAUUGCUCUCAGGAACUUGUUGCUUCACCUCAUUCUUGUUUUCCUGAGCAGGAGCAUCAACACUUUGUCCAGGAACCACAGAAGACGAUGUCAUCAUCCAUACC